rnacentral:lncRNA from 1 species
GGGGGGGCGGGCACAGGACAGACUAGGACUAGGCCCCCUCAGGAGAGACCAGCUCUGCCCCCAACCCCCUCUGCCAACUGAUGCCUCCUACCAAAAACAGCAGGCCUAUGGGAUUUCAGGCCUCCCCUCCACGCCCAGGUAGGUAUUAAAGAGAGGGAAACCGGGGCAAGCAGGCUGGACACCAUGCUCUUCACCAAGACUGUCCAAUUUGUGGUGAAUUUUCUUCUGUCCUGGCGAGGGGGUCUGAGGGAGGGUGCCGACGGGAUAAAGCGUACGGCCCUAGCAGCACUUGGGAAUUUGGAAGGCAGGGAUGGGGGGGCCGCUCCAAUAUCCCCCUCUACCCCUCUGAAUGGACCAAGAGUAACCUCGACCAUGGUCGAUUCGAGGCGGCACCUCCUUCCGCCCGUCACACCCUCCCCGAGAGAUCUCGGCCCGGCUCCCUCCUCAGGAGGCCUCGGGCCACGCCCCUGCAGAGCUGGGACCAGGAACUGUGUUUCUGCGGCUGCCGGGGCCCUGCCUUGCCGGAGCCCGCCGCCCGCCGCAUCCUGGGUGACUACUGGCUGAGUCCGCAGCGCCACGGCCCACCCAGCGCCGCCUAGGGCUGGCCGUCGGCGCGCAGGAUUGAGCUGCUGCCUGGGGCCACCGGCCCGGCCGAUGUGCAGUCGCCGAGCUGGCCCGCUGGCCAAGGCGCGCGCCCGCACCUCACUUGGAAGCACCGAUGGCAGAAUAUUAACUACCAGUUCCAGAGCAAGAGGAAGAGACACCUGGUUUUCCUGCGCCCGUGAGAGCCGGGAUUUGGGGACACAGGCUUCAGGCUUUUUGCAUGAUGAUCCCGAAGCAGACUUGCACCAUGCCAAGGAUGAGCUGGAAGGAGUGCUGAACAAUUCAGUGCCCCCUGUCUUCAGAUUAUCUGCCUUAUCUCCCUCUUGGGGUCUCUGAGAUCCUGCCCUUCACACUCCAAAUAAAUGAGCUUCUGCCUCUCUGGGCCUCUCUCUGCUUUAUUGAGGGGAUAUUCUGUGUACCGAGGGACACACUGAGUUGACUGAACCCAUGGGCUGGGGAGUGUCCACCAUCAUGCCUUGAUGCUGCCCCCACACCCAUCGACCCAUGAAUCCCCACUGCUGUGCCAUAGAAAGAAAGGCAGAGACAUGCAGAG